rnacentral:lncRNA from 1 species
UUUUUAUAAACAUGUUGCAUUUUUUUAUUUUUAAUAUCCAUUUCAAGUUAUGCAUACAUACAAUAAGAUUCAAGUAUGUAGUGUUGCUAGAUACUAAUCCAACACCCUCUGCCAAUGUUCAGCAAUGACAUCCAGACUAGUAUGCAAGCAAAACAGAUUGUUAGACUACAGCCAUAAACCAUAGCAAUUAUAUUCAGCUAAACUAUAUCUUUUGAAUGAAUGAAGGCAAAGUUGCAUGCAAAAAUAUCUUUUGCCUACAUUCCUCCUUUGUUCCUGCACUUCUCAGUAACUAUAUUCACAAAAACUUGCAAACCAAAAAAUUGUUAAGUGAUACUUCUGGAUUC